UCGGAAUUAUAGUUUAAAUAGAAUAUUGGCUUUGGGAGCUAAAGAUCAAAAUAUUUUGUGUUCCGA
rnacentral:tRNA from 2 species